AACUUGAAUAAGAUAUUAAUACUGUAUACGUGGCUUUUUUGCUAAAUUAGUCAUGGAAUUAUUUAUAGGCGAAACCACAUGCGAGCCUAGGAUUAAAUAAAAUAAAAAAAGGAAAAUACAAUUGACAAACUUUUUUGAAAAGCGAUAGUUUUAAAGCCAAUUGUUACUAUAACGAGAAAUACUUUCAUAUGUAAUAUUGAAUAUGUCUAGCUAACAAUGUACAAGAACUACUAAAUUAUUAUCUACCUAUCAAGUCAAUAUUAAAAAAAAUAUAACACAAUAAACAACAAACACCAAAAUAACAGAACGUUUUAUAAGAACAAAAGCAGUGCAUGUGUAUACUUCUAAGCAGAGGUCGGCG